UGAGGAAUAUUGGUCAAUGGGCGGGAGCCUGAACCAGCCAAGCCGCGUGAGGGAAGAAGGCCCUAUGGGUCGUAAACCUCUUUUGUCAGGGAACAAAAGCGAGUAUGUAUACUAGUCUGAGUGUACCCGAAGAAAAUGCAUCGGCUAACUCCGUGCCAGCAGCCGCGGUAAUACGGAGGAUGCGAGCGUUAUCCGGAUUUAUUGGGUUUAAAGGGUGCGUAGGCGGCGAUGCAAGUCAGCGGUAAAAGCCCGGGGCUCAACCCCGGCGAGCCGUUGAAACUGCAGUGCUAGAGAAGGCGAGAGGUACGCGGAAUGCGCAGUGUAGCGGUGAAAUGCUUAGAUAUUGCGCAGAACUCCGAUUGCGAAGGCAGCGUACUGGCGCCUGACUGACGCUGAGGCACGAAAGCGUGGGGAUCGAACAGGAUUAGAUACCC
rnacentral:rRNA from 1 species